rnacentral:rRNA from 1 species
AUGCGCAUGGCACGUUUCUCUUAUGGGCUAGCAGCCUUCUCACAACCGAGGAAAUAUCUUCCGCAACCCCGGGGCCCCCAAGCCAUCUUUUCUGUUCGCUGGGUUCUUCUUCAACCCACAUUAUCUUCUUGGAGCUCCUCUGCGCUGGUUGCUUCUUCGGUCACACUAGAUCUCCCGAGCAGCAAAGGUCUGUGGUCAUCCUCUGCGGUGCCCGGCAGUUUCCCAGGGAUGAAUCUCUUCCAGUCUCUUAUCUUGAAGGAUGAUCUAAAGAAAUAUCAGCACAUGAGAACAUUCCAGAAACAGGGAUGGAAAGGAGGGGGAGGGGGAGGGCCGUUCAAAAGGGACUCACCAGUACAAACCACGACCAGAUCUGGGCUCUGA